GGGCCCAGGCUGAGCACAGCUUUGGGGACUGGGAGAAGCUGCUGGGAGCUCAGGGACCCUGAGACAGGCCUCCCUCACACUGCCUGGACCCUGCCUCCACUCCAGGGACACUGUCCAGGCCUCCUUCCCUCCACCACCCGCCUCCCGCCUAUGAAUCAUCCCCACCACUGCUGUUGCUGCUCCAGGACCGCAGAAUGUCAAGCAGCUCCCCACCUGUUGGACAGACAACCCAUUAGGAUGCGGGUGGAAGCAGUGAGGCUCAGCCCUUCUAAAGGAAUGACGUGACGGCUCAGCUCUGGGACCAGAGGACCACAGCCAGCCCUUUUCUGCUUGCACUGGGAAGAGCUCAAGGGGGCAGAUAUCACCUACCAGGGAAGUGGAAGAGGUGGGCCUGGAACCCCAAGUUUUUCGUUCUGAAUUUUUUUCUUCUUCUUCUUUUUUCCUUCUUGAGACCAGACUGCUGACCAAGGGUUCAAGUGCGGAGAUGCUGGGGAUAGGGUGGAUCUUCCCAUCGGGGCCUGAGGAAGGAGUUCGACACAAGCAGCGCUGCAGCUGGGAGGCUGGUGUUCCUUGAGCAGUUGGCGCCAAGGGCACACUGUGGCUGUU